UAGGGAAUCUUGCGCAAUGGGCGAAAGCCUGACGCAGCAACGCCGCGUGAGGGAAGAAGGCUCUCGGGUUGUAAACCUCUUUCAGGUGGGACGAAGCUUCCAGGGUUAAUAGCCCAUGGGGUGACGGUACCUCCAGAAGAAGCCCCGGCUAACUACGUGCCAGCAGCCGCGGUAAUACGUAGGGGGCAAGCGUUGUCCGGAAUCAUUGGGCGUAAAGCGCGUGUAGGCGGCUUGAUAAGUCCGGUGUGAAACCUUGGGGCUCAACCCCAAGCCUGCACCGGAUACUGUCUCGCUCGAGUUCGGGAGGGGAGAGCGGAAUUCCUAGUGUAGCGGUGAAAUGCGCAGAUAUUAGGAAGAACACCAAUGGCGAAGGCAGCUCUCUGGAACGAUACUGACGCUGAGACGCGAAAGCGUGGGGAGCGAACAGG
rnacentral:rRNA from 1 species